rnacentral:rRNA from 1 species
ACGGCCCAGACUCCUACGGGAGGCAGCAGUGGGGAAUAUCGCACAAUGGGCGGAAGCCUGAUGCAGCAACGCCGCGUGCGGGAUGACGGCCUUCGGGUUGUAAACCGCUUUCGCCUGUGACGGAGCGUGAGUGACGGUAAUGGGUAAAGAAGCACCGGCUAACUACGUGCCAGCAGCCGCGGUGAUACGUAGGGUGCGAGCGUUGUCCGGAUUUAUUGGGCGUAAAGGGCUCGUAGGUGGUUGAUCGCGUCGGAAGUGUAAUCUUGGGGCUUAACCCUGAGCGUGCUUUCGAUACGGGUUGACUUGAGGAAGGUAGGGGAGAAUGGAAUUCCUGGUGGAGCGGUGGAAUGCGCAGAUAUCAGGAGGAACGCCAGUGGCGAAGGCGGUUCUCUGGGCCUUUCCUGACGCUGAGGAGCGAAAGCGUGGGGAGCGAACAGGCUUAGAUACCCUGGUAGUCCA